GCCCAUUUUCAUGCAGGUCGAACGGUAACGCNGGGGAGAAGCUUGCUUCUCUCCGGCGACGAGUGGCGAACGGAUGACUUUACAUCGGAACGUGUCCGCUCGUGGGGGACAACCAGCCCAUAGGUUGGCUAAUACCGCAUGAGUUCUACGGAAGAAAGAGGGGGACCCGCAAGGGCCUCUCGCGAGCGGAGCGGCCGAUGACUGAUUAGCCGGUUGGUGAGGUAACGGCUCACCAAAGCAACGAUCAGUAGCUGGUCUGAGAGGACGACCAGCCACACUGGGACUGAGACACGGCCCAGACUCCUACGGGAGGCAGCAGUGGGGAAUUUUGGACAAUGGGCGCAAGCCUGAUCCAGCUAUUCCGCGUGUGGGAUGAAGGCCCUCGGGUUGUAAACCACUUUUGUAGAGAACGAAAAGACACCUUCGAAUAAAGGGUGUUGCUGACGGUACUCUAAGAGUAAGCACCGGCUAACUACGUGCCAGCAGCCGCGGUAAUACGUAGGGUGCGAGCGUUAAUCGGAAUUACUGGGCGUAAAGGGUGCGCAGGCGGUUGAGUAAGACAGAUGUGAAAUCCCCGAGCUUAACUCGGGAAUGGCAUAUGUGACUGCUCGACUAGAGUGUGUCAGAGGGAGGUGGAAUUCCACGUGUAGCAGUGAAAUGCGUAGAUAUGUGGAAGAACACCGAUGGCGAAGGCAGCCUCCUGGGACAUAACUGACGCUCAGGCACGAAAGCGUGGGGAGCAAACAGGAU
rnacentral:rRNA from 1 species